rnacentral:rRNA from 1 species
CUACGGGAGGCAGCAGUAGGGAAUCUUCCGCAAUGGGCGAAAGCCUGACGGAGCAACGCCGCGUGAGUGAUGAAGGUCUUCGGAUCGUAAAACUCUGUUAUCAGGGAAGAACAAAUGUGUAAGUAACUGUGCACAUCUUGACGGUACCUGAUCAGAAAGCCACGGCUAACUACGUGCCAGCAGCCGCGGUAAU